rnacentral:rRNA from 1 species
UACGUAGGGCGCAAGCGUUGUCCGGAAUUAUUGGGCGUAAAGAGCUCGUAGGCGGCUUGGCAAGUCGGGUGUGAAACCUCCAGGCUCAACCUGGAGACGCCACUCGAUACUGCCAUGGCUAGAGUCCGGUAGGGGACCACGGAAUUCCUGGUGUAGCGGUGAAAUGCGCAGAUAUCAGGAGGAACACCGGUGGCGAAGGCGGUGGUCUGGGCCGGCACUGACGCUGAGGAGCGAAAGCGUGGGGAGCGAACAGG